UUAAAAGUUGAUGCCCACGUUUGAAGCCCAGCCCAAAGCAAUAAAUGCCCACGUCUCUACUCCUUUGCCGGCCCACAGCCCAAACCAUUGGCUGCCGGCGAAGACACAACAAAGAGCGGUUCCUGCUCGCCGCCGCCGUCGACAGCAAUCCGGCCGUGCUGCUCUGCUCUCCGACCAAGCACCCGCCCUCUUCUCCGGCCAAGAAGCUCGUCUCUGAUCGGUCCACAUCCAAAAGCGGGCCCCACUCAUGGGACUCAUGGCCGCCGCCGCCGCGCUCCCGGACUGGGUGAUCCUCGACCGCUUCAUCUUCCUCAGGAACGCCGCCGCCGCCGCACCCUUCCCGGCCAGCAAGGGCUACGACGCACCAUUGACAGCCUCCAGCUCCACCUCACAGGGCAUCCAAUUCCGCAUCGCUCUUCGCCUUGCCGAUCCCCCAACCACCUCCCGCCUCUACGCGUACUUCCCACCACCCCUCGUGGAUCCGGACCGCAUCGGCUGCAGUCUCCUGGAGGCCCACGGCGACCUCCUCCUCUUCGGGGUCACCGACGAGGUCAAGCCCCGCGACCCCUUCGACGACCGCCUCUGCUGCCAGGACCACUUCCUCUGCAGAGUAGCCACAUCGGAUCAUCAUCUGUUCCUCAAACGGCUUCCGGAAUAUACCCACCGGAUCUUGGUGGGCAAAGACAAGUAUGAUGGCCAUGAUGUUACUAUGCAGCGUCUGUUUUAUCCUAAAUCCCGGUAUCUUGCGCGGCCGCGAUGAACGAAAACAAGAUUGUUUCGCCGUAGCGCAUCUGGACAGGAUUUGUCAGCUUCCAAGCAUCUGGAAUACAGAACUGGUCAGGACUGUUCAUCCUCAUUCCUCGAUGACGAUGAGGGAAGCUGAAAUUUCUGUGCUCCAUGCCAGCGUAUCAUCUUGUGAUGCUGCUGCUGAUGGUGCCGCCGUGUGGGAGGUUAAGCGAUUUCCGAUCCUCCAUCCUCAGCAUGAAGACUUGGAUAUCUGUGGUUGGGCGACUGACGCCGUGUUCCCCUUCAAGGCUUACAUCUGCUGGGUUGAUUACUACGUCGGAGGUAUCUCAUUCUUCGAUGUGUUUGCACAAAGUCCUGAGGUCUCUUACCUUGAGUUGCGUAGCUGUGCUCGGCAUCAGUACUCAUAUGAUUUCAAACGAAACGUAGAGAUGUACCGGAGCAUGUGUGUCACCAGAGACGGUGAUUUUCUCAAGUUUGUUUGUGUCGACCUGAGGAUGGCGAGUUUGGUGGCCCGGGAUGCUUCCAUGAAAUUAGAUAAAGUGUGGCCUUCUAUUUGCGCAAACUUUGCGUGUGACCCAGAAGAUGUUCUAACAUGUCCUCUUGUGAGUAUGGAGAAUGCCGAUCGGCUGCAUUUUCUCUUCUCUGAGACCAUGGAUGAUGACAUCGACAAGGUUUCGGUUGUUACCAUUGAUAUGAAUACCGAGACACUAGUGUCAAUUGAUCCCUACAUUAAAGGGGGAGCUGAGGAUGACACGCUCGAGGAAAAGUGUCGUCUUCGCAAGAGUUUUCUUCCCUCCAAGUUCCCUCAUGCCACCAAGGUAUUUGCACCUGACAUAUUUAGUCGUGCAGUGUUCAUCAACUGCAUACAAACUGUUGCUUUUGUUGAUCUUUAUUUAUGCCGAGCAUAUAUGGGAAUAACCAACGUCCUAUGAUUGU